GAUGAACGCUGGCGGCGUGCCUAAUACAUGCAAGUCGAGCGAACAGAUGAGGAGCUUGCUCCUCUGACGUUAGCGGCGGACGGGUGAGUAACACGUGGAUAACCUACCUAUAAGACUGGGAUAACUUCGGGAAACCGGAGCUAAUACCGGAUAAUAUAUUGAACCGCAUGGUUCAAUAGUGAAAGACGGUUUUGCUGUCACUUAUAGAUGGAUCCGCGCCGCAUUAGCUAGUUGGUAAGGUAACGGCUUACCAAGGCAACGAUGCGUAGCCGACCUGAGAGGGUGAUCGGCCACACUGGAACCGAGACACGGUCCAGACUCCUACGGGAGGCAGCAGUAGGGAAUCUUCCGCAAUGGGUGAAAGCCUGACGGAGCAACGCCGCGUGAGUGAUGAAGGUCUUCGGAUCGUAAAACUCUGUUAUUAGGGAAGAACAAAUGUGUAAGUAACUAUGCACGUCUUGACGGUACCUAAUCAGAAAGCCACGGCUAACUACGUG
rnacentral:rRNA from 1 species